AGCCGGCCGAACGGCCGCGGGCACGAGGCGAAAGCCUGUGCGUGAGGAAAGUCCGGGCUCCACAGGGCAAGGAUAACGGGUAACGCCCGCCAGGGGUGACCCUCGGACAAGUGCAACAGAGAUAUACCGCCGCGGCAACGCGGUAAGGGUGGAAAGGCGAGGUAAGAGCUCACCCGUCGCAUGGAGACAUGCCGACGCUGUAAACUCUAUCCGGAGCAACACCGUGGGAGAGCACAAGGCCUGCCCGGCCGCUCUCGGGAGGUGGCUUGAGCCUGCGGGCAACCGCAGGCCACAGAUAGAUGGCCGUUUAAGACAGAACCCGGCUUACAGACCGACUCGU
rnacentral:RNase_P_RNA from 1 species